UACGUAGGGGGCAAGCGUUGUCCGGAUUUAUUGGGCGUAAAGAGCGUGUAGGCGACUUUACAGGUCCGUUGUGAAAACUCGAGGCUCAACCUCGAGACGCCGGUGGAAACCGUAAAGCUAGAGUCCGGAAGAGGAGAGUGGAAUUCCUGGUGUAGCGGUGAAAUGCGCAGAUAUCAGGAAGAACACCCGUGGCGAAGGCGGCUCUCUGGGACGGUACUGACGCUGAGACGCGAAAGCGUGGGGAGCGAACAGG
rnacentral:rRNA from 1 species